rnacentral:lncRNA from 1 species
GCUUUUUUGCUUCCAAAGUUUCUGAUGCGAAAUUUGCUGACAAUCUUGUUAAUAAUCCCUUAUAUGUGAUAUGUCACUUCUCUCUUGUUGUUUUCAAAUUUUUCUCUUUGUCUUUGGCCUUUGACAGUUUGAUUAUAAUGUGUCUCAAUGUGGGUCUCUUUGAGUUCAUCCUACUUGGAAUUUGCUGAACUUCUCAGAUGUUUAUUUAAUUAGAUUAAUAGAUUUUUUAUGUUGAGGUGAUCUUGCAUUUCUAGAAUAAAUCCAGGCUAGUCAUGUUGUAUUUCCUUUUUUAAUACAUUACUGGGUUUGCUAAUCUUU